rnacentral:tRNA from 1 species
GAGCCUGCUGGGAUGGGCGGGUACUGCUAAUUCCUAGCCUCCAUGGUUCAACUCCAUGGCAUGCUCG